rnacentral:rRNA from 1 species
GACGAACGCUAGCGGCGUGCCUAAUACAUGCAAGUCGAGCGGACUUUUCGGGAGCUUGCUUCCGGAAAGUCAGCGGCGAACGGGUGAGUAACACGUGGGUAACCUGCCUGCAAGACCGGGAUAACUUCGGGAAACCGGAGCUAAUACCGGAUGAUCUCCUUUUCCGCAUGGAGAAGGACUGAAAGGACGGCGCAAGCUGUCGCUUGCAGAUGGGCCCGCGGCGCAUUAGCCAGUUGGUGAGGUAACGGCUCACCAAGGCGACGAUGCGUAGCCGACCUGAGAGGGUGAUCGGCCACACUGGGACUGAGACACGGCCCAGACUCCUACGGGAGGCAGCAGUAGGGAAUCUUCCGCAAUGGACGAAAGUCUGACGGAGCAACGCCGCGUGAGCGAUGAAGGCCUUCGGGUCGUAAAGCUCUGUUGUCAGGGAAGAACAAGUGCGGGAGUAACUGCCCGCACCUUGACGGUACCUGACCAGAAAGCCACGGCUAACUAC